rnacentral:rRNA from 1 species
CGUGCAGGCGGUUCGGUAAGUUGGAUGUGAAAUCUCCUGGCUCAACUGGGAGAGGACGUUCAAGACUGUCGGACUAGAGGACGGUAGAGGAAGGUAGAAUUCCCGGUGUAGUGGUGAAAUGCGUAGAUAUCGGGAGGAAUACCAGUGGCGAAGGCGGCCUUCUGGGCCGUUCCUGACGCUCAGACGCGAAAGCUAGGGGAGCAAACGGGAUUAGAAACCCCGGUAGUCCUAGCCGUAAACGAUGUAGACUUGGUGUCGGUGGGGUAAAAGCCAGCGGUGCCGAAGCCAACGCGAUAAGUCUACCGCCUGGGGACUACGGCCGCAAGGUUAAA